rnacentral:rRNA from 1 species
UACGGAGGGAGCUAGCGUUGUUCGGAAUUACUGGGCUUAAAGCGCACGUAGGCGGCUUUGUAAGUAAGAGGUGAAAGCCUGGAGCUCAACUGCAGAACUGCCUUUUAGACUGCAUCGCUUGAAUCCAGGAGAGGUGAGUGGAAUGCCGAGUGUAGAGGUGAAAUUCAUAGAUAUUCGGAAGAACACCAGUGGCGAAGGCGGCUCACUGGACUGGUAUUGACGCUGAGGUGCGAAAGCGUGGGGAGCAAACAGG